rnacentral:rRNA from 1 species
UACGGAGGGGGCUAGCGUUGUCCGGAAUCACUGGGCGUAAAGGGCGCGUAGGCGGCUCAUGCAGGCUGUGGUGAAAGUCCGGGGCUCAACCUCGGAUCGGCCGUGGCGACUCGUGGGCUGGAGCACUGUAGAGGCAGGUGGAAUUCCGGGUGUAGCGGUGGAAUGCGUAGAGAUCCGGAAGAACACCAGUGGCGAAGGCGGCCUGCUGGGCAGUGGCUGACGCUGAGGCGCGACAGCGUGGGGAGCAAACAGG